rnacentral:rRNA from 1 species
GAUGAACGCUGGCGGCGUGCCUACUACAUGCAAGUCGAGCGAGUGUCCCGUUAGGGGCGCAAGCGGCGGACGGGUGAGGAACACGUGGAUAACCUAACCAUAAGAUGGGGAUAGUCUCUGGAAACGGAGGUUAAUACCGAAUAAUCCCUCUGGUUCGCAUGGACCGGAGUGGGAAAGGCGAGAGUCGCUUUUGGAGGGGUCCGCGGCGCAUUAGCUAGUUGGUGGGGUAAUGGCUUACCAAGGUGACGAUGCGUAGCCGGCCUGAGAGGGUGUACGGCCACACUGGGACUGAGACACGGCCCAGACUCCUACGGGAGGCAGCAGUAGGGAAUCUUCCGCAAUGGGCGCAAGCCUGACGGAGCGACGCCGCGUGAGUGAAGACGGCCCUUGGGUUGUAAAGCUCUGUCCAUCGGGAAGAAGAAAGUGACGGUACCGAUGAAGAAAGCCCCGGCUAACUACGUG